rnacentral:snRNA from 1 species
UGCUUGUUUCCACAGCAAAUAUACUGAAAUUGGAACUACACAGAGAAGAUGAGCAUGACCUCUGCCAAGAAUAACAUAUAAAUUUGUCGAGUGUUCCUUAUUUUU